GACGAACGCUGGCGGCGUGCUUAACACAUGCAAGUCGAACGGAAAGGCCCUGCUUUUGUGGGGUGCUCGAGUGGCGAACGGGUGAGUAACACGUGAGUAACCUGCCCUUGACUUUGGGAUAACUUCAGGAAACUGGGGCUAAUACCGGAUAGGAGCUCCUGCUGCAUGGUGGGGGUUGGAAAGUUUCGGCGGUUGGGGAUGGACUCGCGGCUUAUCAGCUUGUUGGUGGGGUAGUGGCUUACCAAGGCUUUGACGGGUAGCCGGCCUGAGAGGGUGACCGGCCACAUUGGGACUGAGAUACGGCCCAGACGCCUACGGGAGGCAGCAGUGGGGAAUAUUGCACAAUGGGCGGAAGCCUGAGGCAGCAACGCCGCGUGCGGGAUGACGGCCUUCGGGUUGUAAACCGCUUUCGCCUGUGACGAAGCGUGAGUGACGGUAAUGGGUAAAGAAGCACCGGCUAACUACGU
rnacentral:rRNA from 1 species